AGUUCAGUGGUAGAAUUCUUGCCUUCCAUGCAGGAGACCUGUGUUCAAUUCUCGG
rnacentral:tRNA from 1 species